rnacentral:rRNA from 2 species
CAUGCAAGUCGAGGGGCAGCAUUUCAGUUUGCUUGCAAACUGGAGAUGGCGACCGGCGCACGGGUGAGUAACACGUAUCCAACCUGCCGAUAACUCGGGGAUAGCCUUUCGAAAGAAAGAUUAAUACCCGAUGGNAUAAUCAGACCGCAUGGUCUUAUUAUUAAAGAAUUUCGGUUAUCGAUGGGGAUGCGUUCCAUUAGGCAGUUGGUGAGGUAACGGCUCACCAAACCUUCGAUGGAUAGGGGUUCUGAGAGGAAGGUCCCCCACAUUGGAACUGAGACACGGUCCAAACUCCUACGGGAGGCAGCAGUGAGGAAUAUUGGUCAAUGGGCGCAGGCCUGAACCAGCCAAGUAGCGUGAAGGAUGACUGCCCUAUGGGUUGUAAACUUCUUUUAUAUGGGAAUAAAGUUUUCCACGUGUGGAAUUUUGUAUGUACCAUAUGAAUAAGGAUCGGCUAACUCCGUGCCAGCAGCCGCGGUAAUACGGAGGAUCCGAGCGUUAUCCGGAUUUAUUGGGUUUAAAGGGAGCGUAGGUGGACAGUUAAGUCAGUUGUGAAAGUUUGCGGCUCAACCGUAAAAUUGCAGUUGAUACUGGCUGUCUUGAGUACAGUAGAGGUGGGCGGAAUUCGUGGUGUAGCGGUGAAAUGCUUAGAUAUCACGAAGAACUCCGAUUGCGAAGGCAGCUCACUGGACUGCAACUGACACUGAUGCUCGAAAGUGUGGGUAUCAAACAGGAUUAGAUACCCUGGUAGUCCACACAGUAAACGAUGAAUACUCGCUGUUUGCGAUAUACAGUAAGCGGCCAAGCGAAAGCAUUAAGUAUUCCACCUGGGGAGUACGCCGGCAACGGUGAAACUCAAAGGAAUUGACGGGGGCCCGCACAAGCGGAGGAACAUGUGGUUUAAUUCGAUGAUACGCGAGGAACCUUACCCGGGCUUAAAUUGCAUUUGAAUANUNUGGAAACAGNUUAGCCGCAAGGCAAAUGUGAAGGUGCUGCAUGGUUGUCGUCAGCUCGUGCCGUGAGGUGUCGGCUUAAGUGCCAUAACGAGCGCAACCCUUAUCUUUAGUUACUAACAGGUCAUGCUGAGGACUCUAGAGAGACUGCCGUCGUAAGAUGUGAGGAAGGUGGGGAUGACGUCAAAUCAGCACGGCCCUUACGUCCGGGGCUACACACGUGUUACAAUGGGGGGUACAGAAGGCAGCUACCUGGUGACAGGAUGCUAAUCCCAAAAGCCUCUCUCAGUUCGGAUCGAAGUCUGCAACCCGACUUCGUGAAGCUGGAUUCGCUAGUAAUCGCGCAUCAGCCAUGGCGCGGUGAAUACGUUCCCGGGCCUUGUACACACCGCCCGUCAAGCCAUGAAAGCCGGGGGUACCUGAAGUACGAACCGCAAGGAGCUCCUAGG